rfam:Schistosoma mansoni strain Puerto Rico chromosome 1, complete genome
GCACUGCUGAGGAGUCCCAUACUAAGACGAAACGGCCGUUCAGUGC